UACGGAGGGUGCAAGCGUUAAUCGGAAUUACUGGGCGUAAAGCGUGCGUAGGUGGUUCGUUAAGUCCGUUGUGAAAGCCCCGAGCUCAACUUGGGAAUUGCAGUGGAUACUGGCGAGCUGGAGUGCGGUAGAGGAAGGUGGAAUUCCCGGUGUAGAGGUGAAAUUCGUAGAUAUUGGGAAGAACACCGGUGGCGAAGGCGGCUCUCUGGACCGAGACUGACGCUGAGGCGCGAAAGCGUGGGGAGCAAACAGG
rnacentral:rRNA from 1 species